rnacentral:misc_RNA from 1 species
GAUGAAGAACGCAGCGAAAUGCGAUAAGUAAUGUGAAUUGCAGAAUUCAGUGAAUCAUCGAAUCUUUGAACGCACCUUGCGCCCUUUGGACAUUCCGAAGGGCAUGCCUGUUUGAGUAUCAUGAACACCUCAACUCUCACGGCUUGUCCGUGAUGAGCUUGGACUUUGGGGGUCUUGCCGGCCUGUGGUCGGCUCCUCUCAAAUGGAUCAGCUUGCCAGUGUUUGGUGGCAUCACAGGUGUGAUAACUAUCUGCGCUUGUGGUUUUCCAUCAGAUAACCUUCAGUGAUAUGGAGGUUCGCUGGAGCUCACAAAUGUCUCUCCUUAGUGAGGACAGCUCUUUGAACGUUUGAUCUCAAAUCAGGUAGGACUACCCGCUGAACUUAAGCAUAUAAUAAGCGGAGGA